rnacentral:misc_RNA from 1 species
GUAGGUGAACCUGCGGAAGGAUCAUUAUCACGUAUCCACGUAUCAACCAUUGUGAACCGUUUUACCUUUUGUCGAGAGUGAGGUUGUGGGAGAUGAGCUGGCUCGUUUAAUGAUUUUUGAGCAAAUCAAGGCUUAUCUCUCCAUGGAACUUAUCAAGCAAUUGAUGAGUACAUACUCGUUCACUUCAAAUUGUAUUCAAAUCAUUGACAAACAAUUUUAACCACUUUGAACAUUGACUUAUCUUUUUCAU